rnacentral:rRNA from 1 species
AGUGAACGCUGGCGGUAGGCCUAACACAUGCAAGUCGAACGGCAGCACAGUAAGGGCUUGCUCUUACGGGUGGCGAGUGGCGGACGGGUGAGGAAUACAUCGGAAUCUACUUUUUCGUGGGGGAUAACGUAGGGAAACUUACGCUAAUACCGCAUACGACCUACGGGUGAAAGCAGGGGAUCUUCGGACCUUGCGCGAUUGAAUGAGCCGAUGUCGGAUUAGCUAGUUGGCGGGGUAAAGGCCCACCAAGGCGACGAUCCGUAGCUGGUCUGAGAGGAUGAUCAGCCACACUGGAACUGAGACACGGUCCAGACUCCUACGGGAGGCAGCAGUGGGGAAUAUUGGACAAUGGGCGCAAGCCUGAUCCAGCCAUACCGCGUGGGUGAAGAAGGCCUUCGGGUUGUAAAGCCCUUUUGUUGGGAAAGAAAAGCAGCAGGUUAAUACCCCGCUGUUCUGACGGUACCCAAAGAAUAAGCAUCGGCUAACUUCGUG